AUCAGGUAGUAGUGGGUGUAGCGUACCUACUAGCCUACGACGGGUACGGGUUGUGAGAGCAAGAGCCCGGAGAUGGAUUCUGAGACACGAAUCCAGGCCCUACGGGGUGCAGCAGGCGCGAAAACUUUACAAUGCUGGAAACAGCGAUAAGGGGACCUCGAGUGCCAGGUUACAAAUCUGGCUGUCGUGAUGCCUAAAAAGCAUUGCAUAGCAAGGGCCGGGCAAGACCGGUGCCAGCCGCCGCGGUAACACCGGCGGCUCGAGUGGUAACCGUUAUUAUUGGGUCUAAAGGGUCUGUAGCCGGCCGGAUAAGUCUCUUGGGAAAUCCAGCAGCUUAACUGUUGGGCUUUCAGGAGAUACUGUCUGGCUCGAGGCCGGGAGAGGCGAGAGGUACUUCAGGGGUAGGGGUGAAAUCUUGUAAUCCUUGAAGGACCACCAGUGGCGAAGGCGUCUCACCAGAACGGACCUGACGGCAAGGGACGAAAGCUAGGGGCACGAACCGGAUUAGAUACCCGGGUAGUCCUAGCCGUAAACGAUACUCGCUAGGUGUCGGCCACGGUGCGACCGUUGUCGGUGCCGUAGGGAAGCCGUGAAGCGAGCCACCUGGGAAGUACGGCCGCAAGGCUGAAACUUAAAGGAAUUGGCGGGGGAGCACA
rnacentral:rRNA from 1 species